rfam:Candida glabrata complete mitochondrial genome
GAGAGUAUUGUUUAAAGGUAAAACAGUUGUCUUUUAAGCAACCCAUGCUUGGUUCGAAUCCAGCUAUUCUCA